rnacentral:miRNA from 1 species
AUUUUUUCUGUGUUGGUGUAAUGUACUCAGGUGAAUAUGAUGCUUGUGAUGUUACUCUGAGUGUACACUCAGAGUAACAUCACAAGCAUCAUAUUCACCUGAGUACAUUACACCAACACAGAAAAAAUCAUGAUUAUUA